rnacentral:rRNA from 1 species
UUCUAAAGCUAAAUACCGGCCAGAGACCGAUAGCGCACAAGUAGAGUGAUCGAAAGAUGAAAAGCACUUUGGAAAGAGGGUUAAACAGUACGUGAAAUUGUUGAAAGGGAAGCGCCCGCUACCAGACUCGGGCGCGGCGGAUCACCCGGCGUUCUCGCCGGCGCACUCCGCCGCGCCCGGGCCAGCAUCGGCCCCCGCGGGCGGACAAAGGCCCGGGGAACGUGGCUCCCCCGGGAGUGUUACAGCCCCGCCCGAAAUGCGCCCGCCGGGGGCCGAGGACCGCGCCCAACGGCAAGGAUGCUGGCGUAAUGGUCGUCGGCGACCCGUCUUGAAACACGGACCAAGGAGUCAAGGUUUUGCGCGAGUGUCUGGGCGUCAGAAACCCGCACGCGAAAUGAAAGUGAACGCAGGUGAGAGCCCCCGGGCGCAUCAUCGACCGAUCCCGACGUGCUCGGACGGAUUUGAGUGGGAGCGUCAAGCCUUGGACCCGAAAGAUGGUGAACUAUGCUCGGAUAGGGUGAAGCCAGAGGAAACUCUGGUGGAGGCUCGCAGCGGUUCUGACGUGCAAAUCGAUCGUCAAAUCUGAGCAUGGGGGCGAAAGACUAAUCGAACCAUCUAGUAGCUGGUUACCGCCGAAGUUUCCCUCAGGAUAGCAGUGUCGAUCUCAGUUUUAUGAGGUAAAGCGAAUGAUUAGGGACCCGGGGGCGAAUCUUAGCCUUCAUCCAUUCUCAAACUUUAAAUAUGUAAGAAGCCCUUGUUCCUUCGGUGAACGUGGGCGUUCGAAUGUAGCGACACUAGUGGGCCAUUUUUGGUAAGCAGAACUGGCG